rnacentral:lncRNA from 1 species
CUGCAGGCUGCCCGUGGAACCUGUGAGAGCAGCAGACCCACAGGCACCCUGCUCUGCCAUGUGCUCCUGGGGCCAUCCUUCCCUCACACCAAGGGGUUGUGCUCUCCAGUCAUAGGCAGUGACCACAUAAGUGACACAAAACACAACCAGGCCCUAGGCAGUGGAGUUUGCAUCUUUAGUGUUGAUGGAAAGGUUUCAGCUGACUUUGAGUGGGUGCCUGAUUAUGCUGUCUCCUGGAGAUAGUCUCCAAGAAGUAUGGGACUUUCCUUGGAUCAGAAAUGGGAAAGACAAGUUGGGUCUGCAAGACAAAUCAUUGAAAGCUGUGGUUUUGAACUUCAGUUUGCCAAAUAUUUGUUUAAGUUUCAAGUACUGAGUGUAAGAAUUGAUUAUCUUUAGUGUCUAAAGAGCUUAGGGGUUCAAAAAGAGAUCAUGAUAAGGGCACAAAAACAAAGGAAUCAUGAGCUAUAAAUCUUGUGUUCAGUGAAGUAAGAGGAAAAUGCAUGGUUAUAAAGAUGUUUAAUUUUUUUUUUUUUUCCCCCUCUGGCUUUCCUCAUCCAGACAUGAAAAACUCUAAACUUCCCCAUUAGGCUGGUUACAUGGACUUCAUGAGGAGGUCUGAGCCUAGGAGGACUUACAGAAGGAAAACAAUGUUCCGAGUACCAACACCCUGCAUAGCAAUGACAAAUAUCCGGUUGUACUCAUUCCAGAACGUUUCCAUGGCACAGUCAGGCAAACCAAACCAAUCUGCUUGCAUGGUCCUGAACUUGCCAGUGCUGGAGUGAGCUGUGUCAAAAGGCUGGGGCAAGUCUGUGUCUAAGGAAAAGGUGGAGAUGAAGAAUGAAUGUGAUGGUCAUUCUUCCUCUGCCCUCUCUGCUGAGCAUGUGGAUGGGUUUUGCAAUAGUGGUGUUGGGCUCCAGAUGAAAAUUAUGAAUUUUGUCAAAUCAAGGCACCACCAAUUAGCAAUAAUCAUUCCUGAUCAAAAGCUAUGGAGGCAGGCACCAAACCAAGGUACCUCCCUUUUUGGCAAGUCACCAAGCUUGGUUUGGACCCUGCCAAGUAUUGUAGUGUCCAUUUUUUAAAGAGGA